GUGGGGAAUCUUGCGCAAUGGGCGAAAGCCUGACGCAGCCAUGCCGCGUGAAUGAUGAAGGUCUUAGGAUUGUAAAAUUCUUUCACCGGGGACGAUAAUGACGGUACCCGGAGAAGAAGCCCCGGCUAACUUCGUGCCAGCAGCCGCGGUAAUACGAAGGGGGCUAGCGUUGCUCGGAAUUACUGGGCGUAAAGGGCGCGUAGGCGGACAGUUUAGUCAGAGGUGAAAGCCCAGGGCUCAACCUUGGAAUUGCCUUUGAUACUGGCUGUCUGGAGUACGGGAGAAGUGAGUGGAACUCCGGGUGUAGAGGUGAAAGUCGUAGAUAUUCGGAAGAACACCAGUGGCGAAGGCGACUCACUGGCCCGUUACUGACGCUGAGGCGCGAAAGCGUGGGGAGCAAACAGGAUUAGAUACCCCGGUAGUCC
rnacentral:rRNA from 1 species